rnacentral:lncRNA from 1 species
GAUGGAGAGAGAGGCCCUUACAAUGGCCCUUAUGUGCCCCCACAGCCAUGUUAGAAACAGGAGAAGAAUCUCAUCCUAACAUGAACAAAGUCGAAGGUCUGGUUAUUUAGAGAUCGGAUGAGGGGAGAGGCUCUUGCAAUGGCUCUUACAUGCCCCCACAGUCCUGUUAGGAACAGGAGGAGAACCUCAUCCUAACAUGAGCUAAAAUUGACUGUGUCG